CUUAAUUUGACUCAACACGGGAAACUCACCAGGUCCGACCAUGUAAGGGAUGACAGAUUGAGAGUCUUUCAUGAUUCUAUGGGUGGUGGUGCAUGGCCGUUCUUAGUGGUGGAGUGAUUGUCCUGGUAAUUCCGUAAACGAACGAGACCUUAACCUGCUAAAUAGGUGCGCUAGCGCAAGCUAGUGGUACGUUCUAGAGGGGACAAACCACGGUUAGUGGUUGGAAGUUGAGGCAAUAACAGGUCUGUGACGCCCUUAGAUGUUCUGGGCCGCACGCGCGCUACACUGACACAGUCAGCGAGUGGAGCCUGACCGAGAGGUCUGGGAAAUCUUGUGAAACUGUGUCGUGCUGGGGAUAGACCAUUGCAAUUAUUGGUCUUCAACGAGGAAUUCCUAGUAAGCGCAAGUCAUCAGCUUGCGUUGAUUACGUCCCUGCCCUUUGUACACACCGCCCGUCGUUACUACCGAUUGAAUGGCUUAGUGAGGCCUCCGGAUUGUGCCCGCGCUAGUGGGUGUGAGAAGCUGGUCAAACUUGGUCAUUUAGAGGAAGUACAAGUCGUAACAAGGUUUCCGUAGGUGAACCUGCAG
rnacentral:rRNA from 1 species